GAUGAACGCUAGCGAUAGGCUUAACACAUGCAAGUCGAGGGGUAGCACUUCGGGUGGCGACCGGCGCACGGGUGAGUAACACGUAUAUAACCUACCAUAUACUGUGGGAUAGGCUCUCGGAAGAGAGAUUAAUACUGCAUGGUACAAUUUUAUCGCAUGGUAUAAUUGUUAAAGAUUUAUUGGUAUAUGAUGGGUAUGCGUAACAUUAGCUUGUUGGUGGGGUAACGGCUCACCAAGGCAACGAUGUUUAGGGGAACUGAGAGGUUUGUCCCCCACACUGGUACUGAGACACGGACCAGACUCCUACGGGAGGCAGCAGUGAGGAAUAUUGGUCAAUGGGCGAGAGCCUGAACCAGCCAAGCCGCGUGAAGGACGAAGGUAUUAUGUAUUGUAAACUUCUUUUGCAGUGAAUAAAAGGUGGCUUUUUAGCCAUAUUGCAAGUACAUUGCGAAUAAGGAUCGGCUAACUCCGUGCCAGCCGCCGCCGUAA
rnacentral:rRNA from 1 species